rnacentral:rRNA from 1 species
UGGAUGAUGUGGAUUAAUUCGAUGCAACGCGAAGAACCUUACUACCCUUGACAUGUCCGGAACUUGCCAGAGAUGGCUUGGUGCCCGAAAGGGAACCUAGACACAGGUGCUGCAUGGCUGUCGUCAGCUCGUGUCGUGAGAUGUUGGGUUAAGUCCCGCAACGAGCGCAACCCUUGUCAUUAAUUGCCAUCAUUCAGUUGGGCACUUUAAUGAGACUGCCGGUGACAAACCGGAGGAAGGUGGGGAUGACGUCAAGUCCUCAUGGCCCUUAUGGGUAGGGCUUCACACGUAAUACAAUGGUCGGUACAGAGGGUUGCCAACCCGCGAGGGGGAGCCAAUCCCAGAAAACCGAUCGUAGUCCGGAUUGUAGUCUGCAACUCGACUGCAUGAAGUCGGAAUCGCUAGUAAUCGCGGAUCAGCAUGUCGCGGUGAAUACGUUCCCGGGCCUU